GAUAACCUACGGGACGCAGCAGUGGGGAAUAUUGGACAAUGGGGGGAACCCUGAACGAGCAAUGCCGCGUGAACGAGGAAGGUCUUCGGAUCGUAAAGUUCUGUUGAAGGGGAAAAAGAGCGGAGAGAGGAAAUGGUCUCCGAUUGAUAUUACCCUUCGAGGAAGUCACGGCUAACUACGUGCCAGCAGCCGCGGUAAUACGUAGGUGGCGAGCGUUAUCCGGAAUGAUUGGGCGUAAAGGGUGCGUAGGCGGCCUGCUAAGUCUGGAGUGAAAGGUACCGGCUCAACCGGUACAG
rnacentral:rRNA from 1 species